ensembl:rRNA 5S_rRNA 5S ribosomal RNA
GUCUCCGGUCAUAUCAGCCUGAAGGUGUCAGAUCUCGUCUGAUCUCAGAAGCUAAGAAUCUGCUAAACUGUACUUAAAAAACUGGAAAUA